AAGGCCCUGACUUAAGACCAGUAAGUUACACUAUAGUUGUUGGUUUCAAGUUGAGGCUCUAAGGACUAUCUUCCUGUGGAUCUGUUGGCUGAUCUGGAACCUCAACAAAGAAAAGCUGUUUUAUUUGAAAGAAACAACA